rnacentral:lncRNA from 1 species
GAUCAGACGUCGUCGCCGGCGCCGUACGACGAGAAGCGGCUUAGUCCUGGAGGGCCAGAUCCCCAGCACCACUGAUCGGAUUUAUUAGGACACUCUCAAUCUAAAAUUUUAUUGUGCAUUUUCCAUAAUGUUAUAUCAUCAAAAUAUACUUGAGCGAAUGAAUAAAACAAAUUUUCUUAAUACAAAAUUUUAAUUAUAGCUUUAUAGGCUAACAUAUCACUUAGAUGUUGCAUCCAAGCGACCAAUUAGAAUUCACUAAAUCUAUGGAGAUGAAAUAAAUUACUCUUAGGUUGCGUUCUUGGUUGGAUUUACAAACCGGCACAGAAAACUUAUCAGAAGAUUAAUAUAUUAUUAAUUAAUUAUUAGUUAUAAAAAUAAAAAAUAGAUUGAUAUAAUUUUUAAAACAAUUUUUAUAUAGAAAAUUUUUGAAAUAAAAAGACCGUUUAGUGGUUUGUGAAGCGUGCGUGUGAAAAACAAGACAAUCUGGCUUAGGAAGCCGGAUGAAUGAACGCAGGCUUGGUGGAGGUUUCACUCCAGUUUCUUCCUUAUCUCCUGUUGGUUCCUCUAGUAAAGACAACGCCAUGUCUUUUGCCCUGUAACCACCUCUAACAAUAAGUUUUACUUGCUACGAAUGAUAGGUCACUACUCUCCUCUUCUAUGAAUAAGGUAGCGUUAUCGUAUCCCAGACAUUCCUUUAAGGUAAGGACCCCAG